rnacentral:lncRNA from 1 species
AGGCAACCCAUAAUAAACCUUGCAGCACAUACAUGACUUAUAUAUGAAUAUAACAGUAGAUUACAUUACGUAAGAAAUAUUAGAAACUAAGACCAGGGCUCAGCUCAUUCUCUAACAGUAAGCGACACAUUUCUUCUUACAAUCCAUGGUGCAUCCACCGCCUCCGCCACCACCGCCGUAGCCCUUCCCUGAACGGCUGUAAGAGGUGAAGCACUUUUUCGGACACGUCAGUUUCUUCAUGUAACAAGGACCUCUCUCCUUACACACCACACUAGGCCUAAUUACACCACCUCUUGAGUACCCUCCAUUCGGACCUCCGUACCCGGCUCCAUACCCGCCACCUACUAUCCCAUUUCCGAACCCGGGUAUACCUGAUCCGGGUCCAAAGAAUCCAUCCAU